UCGUAACAAGGUCUCCGUUGGUGAACCAGCGGAGGGAUCAUUACUGAGUUUACGCUCUAUAACCCUUUGUGAACAUACCUAUAACUGUUGCUUCGGCGGGUAGGGUCUCCGUGACCCUCCCGGCCUCCCGCCCCCGGGCGGGUCGGCGCCCGCCGGAGGAUAUCCAAACUCUGAUUUAACGACGUUUCUUCUGAGUGGUACAAGCAAAUAAUCAAAACUUUUAACAACGGAUCUCUUGGUUCUGGCAUCGAUGAAGAACGCAGCGAAAUGCGAUAAGUAAUGUGAAUUGCAGAAUUCAGUGAAUCAUCGAAUCUUUGAACGCACAUUGCGCCCGCCAGCAUUCUGGCGGGCAUGCCUGUUCGAGCGUCAUUUCAACCCUCAAGCUCUGCUUGGUGUUGGGGCCCUACAGCUGAUGUAGGCCCUCAAAGGUAGUGGCGGACCCUCCCGGAGCCUCCUUUGCGUAGUAACUUUACGUCUCGCACUGGGAUCCGGAGGGACUCUUGCCGUAAAACCCCCAAUUUUCCAAAGGUUGACCUCGGAUCAGGUAGGAAUACCCGCUGAACUUAAGCAUAUCAA
rnacentral:rRNA from 1 species